rnacentral:rRNA from 1 species
AGAGUUUGAUCAUGGCUCAGAUUGAACGCUGGCGGCGUGCCUAACACAUGCAAGUCGAGCGGUAACAGGUGUAGCAAUACAUGCUGACGAGCGGCGAACGGGUGAGUAAUGCUUCGGAAUCUACCCUAUGGUGGGGAAUAACCAGCCGAAAGGUUGGCUAAUACCGCAUACGUCCUACGGGAGAAAGCAGGGGAUCGCAAGACCUUGCGCCGAUGGAUGAGCCGAAGUCGGAUUAGCUAGUUGGUGAGGUAACGGCUCACCAAGGCGACGAUCCGUAGCUGGUCUGAGAGGACGACCAGCCACACUGGGACUGAGACACGGCCCAGACUCCUACGGGAGGCAGCAGUGGGGAAUAUUGGACAAUGGGGGCAACCCUGAUCCAGCGACGCCGCGUGUGUGAAGAAGGCCUGCGGGUUGUAAAGCACUUUUAGUGGGGAUGAAAUGUGCAGGGUUAACACCUCUGCAUUUUGACCUAACCCACAGAAAAAGCACCGGCUAACUCUGUGCCAGCAGCCGCGGUAAUACAGAGGGUGCAAGCGUUAAUCGGAAUUACUGGGCGUAAAGCGUGCGCAGACGGUUGCGUAAGUCAGAUGUGAAAGCCCCGGGCUCAACCUGGGAAUUGCAUUUGAGACUGCGUAGCUAGGGUGCGGAAGAGGGAAGCGGAAUUUCCGGUGUAGCGGUGAAAUGCGUAGAUAUCGGAAGGAACACCAGUGGCGAAAGCGGCUUCCUGGUCCAGCACCGACGUUCAGGCACGAAAGCGUGGGGAGCAAACAGGAUUAGAUACCCNNGUAGUCC